rnacentral:lncRNA from 1 species
GAACACUCACUUAUAUUCAUCGGCUUCCCUGCAUAAAGUGUGUGUGAGAUGGUGCUGACUGCUGAAAUAAACUACUCAAGAGCUGUCAGAGAAUGAGAAUUUAAGGAUAAAACAUAAUAAAAAUUCAACUCAAUUUCCAUAUGCAGGAGGCUUACGGUGUUAAAACAAUACCGAUCUUGUGAAUUUUUCUCAAGUCUCCGCAAACUAAUCUCAAAUUAUUCUAUAGCCUAAAACUUUCAACAAAAAUGCAAUUUUUUUUUUAGAAAGAAAACAAAAACAAAACAAAACAAAGAACAAAAACAAAGAAAA